UUUGAAGAAGUCUUGUAUAUACUGUAAUUUUGCCGCAAACUGCAGAUAGAUUAUGUUCCUGCAGGAUAAAUAGAUUAAGAUGUAAUUAAAUCCUUCUUAGCUUUCUGAGAUUUUGUUGUUAACAAAUUAAAUACCAGGUCUCUUUUCUAUAUUAAAAACCUUUUUUUGUCGUUGCAGAUUAGUUGUUUUAUUUUCUAUAUAAUUUCAGUUCGUGCUUAUUUAUUUAUAUCAAAAUGCAAAGGAUGCAUAUAUAUACAUACAUAUAUAUAUAUAUAUAUAUAUAUAUAUAUAUAUAUAUAUAUAUAUAUAUAUAUAUAUAUAUAGAUAUGGCUUUACUAAGGAUGCAUAAUCGUAUCUCACAAACCCACACAACUUAACGUAAAUCAUAAAAAUUGAAUUGGAAAUAGGGUUGAAUUAAGUUUUCAAAUUUAAAAAAACGACCAAUCUAAUUUCACCUCAGCUAAACUUUUAUAAUUUAAUUUGAACUAAAGUAGAAAGUUGAACCAUGUAUGGUGUGGAUAACGUACAGCUCAGGUGUGCUAAGUUUUGUCCAUAACAGCAGGUGGCCACGUGAAAUUAAGGUGCUGGAAAAUUGAAUAUAAAGGAAGGAGGCGUGUUAGAUUGGUGCAUAUUGUCGAGUUUAGGUGCAGAAGGUAAACACUAAACAGAGGGAUAAGAUAAAGGAUCGACGGAGAGCAUAGUGCACAGAAUGGUGGAAGUGAAAAAAGAAUGUUUCUGUAUCAUUAAUCUAAUUGUAUGAUCAUGUCAUGGCAUAGGAACCAACUGCAGCUGCAUGGAGUGGACGAUGUACCGGUUAAGUUCAUCACAGGUGAUGUUGGGUUGUUAUACACUAACCCGGGAAUGAAUUAGGAGUAUAUCAACGACGGUGGUUUCAAGAAAGAUGUGCCAUCUUUGGAGGAAGUGGUCGUGCUGAAAGGGAUUUGCACACUUCAACAAUCACAUUUAUGUGCCGGUUUCCCAGGGAUUUCAAUGUUGGAACGCGAAUAAAAUCACAAAUUUGUGACUUGUGACUGUUAGAGUUUGAGUCUUGUAAAUCCUGGUCAUAAUGAAAUUUGGCUCAACUUAUGAUUGUAAUAUUUGGUCAAGUAGUUUUAUUAAAUAAUGUUGUUUGGAUGAAAUAAAAUAAAAAUCACUUUUGAAUAUCGUGCAGUUAUUUUUUGUUUUUUGUGCUAACAAAAUUUUAAGGAAGGAAAUAAUGUCUCAGUCCAAGUUUGC
rnacentral:lncRNA from 1 species